GUCACAUGACUAAUUAGGAAGUGAUAAGUGUUUGCUGGCUGCAAGUCAGAUUCUCUUUGUGUUGGUGCUGGACACUAUUGUGCGAGUUGGGCUCCCUUUUCAUGCAGGGUAAUUUCUAGAAGGUUGUGUCUACUCUUCAUGGAGGACACAGGCUUCUGCAUGGAGUUUUAACAUUUGUGAUCACCUCAUUGUGAUCUGAGCUGCUGGGCUGCAUUGCAACGGAACAUUCACCUUUUUGCCCUCAUGUGUCAAUGAGCUGUGGACAGUUGAGCAUAUUGAAAAGUAGGCCUAUAUUUUCUAGCUAUGUUUGAGUGGACUAUGCUAUGUUGUUUAAUGAGGCUGGCAACUAACACGCUUGUUCUCUCCUGAAAAGGGACCAGGCCAGCCACUGUUUUCCUGUAAUUAGUAUGCAUUUCUUGUGCAUAUUGUGUUUGUUUGUUUGUUUGGUUAUCUGACUUUGCCUCUGGGCCUACUACCCAUGUGCCCCGAUCAUAGUAGCAUUGUACAUUAACAAGUGGUGCUAUUGAUGCUGGUGGUUCUCCUCCCUAACUAUGUCCUCUGCUUAGGCUAUCGCUGUACAAGGCCGGAUCCACACUGAUGCUUUGCCCCUUCUUGCCAAGGGACCACAUUAGCAGACACUGUCUUGGUGUGUACUAUAACUACAACACGGUGUGAUAUUUUGUAGUGGUAUCGAAAGACCUUAAGUGUGUAGUGCUUGCUGCAACAGGACACGUGUGACAUUUUGUAGUGGUAUCUGAAGAUCUUGAGUGUAGUGCUUGCUGUGUUGCAUGCUUUGUCUGGUGUUGGGUUGCUGUCUCCUGUUUUUCUGUCUCACCAGGGUCCUCCUGAGCAGGGGUUUUGCAUUGGCUGAUCCGACCUUCCUAGACUGAGGAAAAUCCACCAGUUUAUAGCAAAUUAGCCACACUACAUUCAGGGAAAGAUCUGUGGGUCCUCCUGCCCAUCAUCAGGGGGUGGCGUAGUCAGACUGUAAAGAAGGUAUACCGCUUGACGGGU